UACGUAGGGGGCAAGCGUUGUCCGGAUUCAUUGGGCGUAAAGAGCGUGUAGGCGGCCAGGUAGGUCGGUUGUGAAAACUGGAGGCUCAACCUUCAGAGGUCGACCGAAACCAUCUGGCUAGAGUCCGGGAGAGGAGAGUGGAAUUCCUGGUGUAGCGGUGAAAUGCGCAGAUAUCAGGAGGAACACCGAUGGCGAAGGCAGGUCUCUGGGCAUUAACUGACGCUGAGGAGCGAAAGCGUGGGGAGCGAACAGG
rnacentral:rRNA from 1 species